GACACGGUGAUCGAGCGGUCAAUGGUGACGAGCUGUAAACUCGUUGACGGAAGUCUACGCAGGUUCAAAUCCUGCCCGUGUC
rnacentral:tRNA from 1 species